CGGUCUUCAACCGUCGUCCUCGGAGCCGCUGAACUUUUCACGCUGUUCCUACGCGGACACACUCCCGAGUUUUAGGACAAAACAAAUGGCCCGUCCGUCCUCACCGUCUUCUAGCCAUUUAGUGUGGGAUUUAGUUGUGAAUUUAGAAAGCAGAUUUGUCUAAACUGCGGCGCAACUUCAGAGAGACCGAAGACCGAAGUUGUAGCCGAGAUAAAGGAAUCUGGAUCGGCCCUUCUGCUCGCGUCAACGGUCAAAGUCAAGAUGUCUGUAAGCAACCACGAAAACCGGAAGUCGCGCUCCAGCUCUGGCUCCAUGAACAUCCAGCUUUUUCACAAGACGUCGCACGCCGACAGCCUGUUGACUCAGCUCAACCUGCUGCGCAAGCGAAGAGUCUUCACCGACGUCGUCCUGAAAGCUGGCAACCGCUCCUUCCCAUGCCACCGGGCGGUCCUGGCCUCCUGUAGCCGCUACUUUGAGGCCAUGUUCAGCGGGGGGCUCAGGGAGAGUCGGGAUGCUGACGUCAACUUUCACGACUCCCUCCACCCCGAAGUCCUGGAACUGUUGCUUGACUAUGCCUACUCGGCCCGGGUCAUCAUCAAUGAGGAGAACGCGGAGUCACUGCUGGAAGCUGGGGACAUGCUUCAGUUCCACGACAUCCGGGACGCAGCGGCAGAGUUCCUAGAGAAGAACCUCCAUCCGUCUAAUUGUCUUGGGAUGAUGCUUCUGUCAGACGCCCACCAGUGUCAGAGGCUGUAUGAGCUGUCAUGGAGAAUGUGUCUGGCAAACUUUGCAACUCUCUUCAGAACAGAGGACUUCCUCAGCCUGCCCAAAGAUAAAGUCCAGGAGCUGAUUCUCAGUGAGGAGCUGGAGGUGGAGGACGAGAGCCUGGUGUACGAGGCGGUCAUCGACUGGGUGAAGGCGGACAUGGAGCGGCGGCACAGCGAGUUGCCGGAUCUGCUGCGAUGCGUGCGCCUGGCCCUGUUGCCAGAGUCCUAUCUGCUGAAGAACGUCGCUUCGGAGGAGUUGGUGAUGUGCCACAAGGUGGGCCGGGAGAUUGUAGAAGACGCAGUGCGGUGCAAGAUGAGGAUCCUCCAGAACGACGGCAUUGUGACGGGGUUCUGUGCGCGGCCCAGAAAAGUGAGCCAAGCCUUGCUGCUUCUUGGGGGACAGACAUUCAUGUGUGACAAAGUCUACAUGAUUGACAACAAAACCAAGGAGAUCACACCCAAAACAGACAUCCCAAGCCCUAGGAAGGAGUGCAGUGCUUGUGCCAUUGGUUGUAAGGUUUAUGUUACUGGAGGCCGCGGCUCUGAGAACGGAGCCUCCAAGGAUGUCUGGGUCUACGACACGUUGCACGAUGAGUGGUCAAAAGCAGCUCCAAUGCUUGUGGCCAGAUUUGGACAUGGCUCUGCAGAGCUUGACCACGUGCUGUACGUUGUGGGAGGACACACAUCGCUGGCGGGAUCCUUCCCUGCGUCUCCGUCGGUGUCUCUGAAACAAGUCGAACAGUACGACCCGCAGAGCAACAAGUGGACCCUGGUCGCCCCGCUGAGGGAAGGCGUGAGCAAUGCCGCGGUUGUCGGUGCCAAAAACAAACUCUUUGCUUUCGGAGGCACCAGUGUGAACAGAGACAAAUACCCCAAGGUGCAGUGCUUCGACCCCUGCCAGAACCGCUGGUCUGUACCCGCCGCCUGCCCUCAGCUGUGGCGGUACACGGCAGCGGCCGUCGUCGGCAACCACGUCGUCGUAAUCGGAGGUGACACGGAGUUCUCAGCCAGCUCUGCGUACCGCUUCAACAGCGAGACGUAUCAGUGGUCGAAGUUCGGUGACGUCACGGCCAAACGGAUCAGCUGUCACGCGGUGGCAUCAGGGAACAGGCUGUAUGUGGUUGGAGGGUACUUUGGGGCUCAGAGGUGUAAGACGCUAGACUGUUACGAUCCAUCAUCAGACUCCUGGGACAGCGUGACCAGUGUGCCAUACUCACUCAUUCCUACCGCCUUCGUCAGCACAUGGAAGUACCUGCCGUCUUAGACACACAGUGUCUGCAACUUUUCUAGAGCCACGAUGGAGACAGACAGCCUGACUGUAAAAGAUCAAAGCAGCACAUCCUUGUGAAUUCUCAGUUACACCAACCAGCCCACUGCUGCUGACGACAUGUAUGCCUUAUUAAAGCAGAGCCUGGAGGAGGGGGUUAAAAAAAAAAAAGAGCUCCAGUUUCUGGCCCAUCAAGUCAGACUUAUUUCCUCACGUGUCCUGUCUUUCUCUACCUGAGACCUUGGAGCCUGAAGGAGAAAAGAUGAGCUGCGGUGUCUGGUAUGCAGGCAUAUGUCUCUCUGCUGGCUCCAAAGAGGAGGAAGAUGAAGAAGAAGAAGGGGUUUGUGUCUUCUUGUUGGGGCUUCUGAUGAGUCUGCAGAGGAGCAGAGGCCUGGAAACCAGCCCAGAGACUGAGAGUCUGCGGCCUCCUCCCCCCACCUGAUCUGUUUACUCUGACUUCUUGUGUAACUUUCUCAUGGAAGCAGUCUGAGCGGGAGCAGUUGCCAUGAUUACUCCAGCGGACCUCGCAGUCAUCUCUGCUCCUUCUCUUUCCUCCUGCUGGGACAAAUAAGCUACUGUGACCGGACCAGACCUGCUCUGGGCCUUUUCCAGUUUUAUGGACAUGAUGUUUUACAGUGAAGCUCUCUCUCCCUUUCGCCUGACACGUUUACUCAGGUGUGUGUUAUUUCCCCGCUCGCGGGGCUGAAUUGGACCUCCUCAACCAACCGUGCGGUGAAGGAAGCAAGUAGUUUGUGAAAGUGUAUUAUUUUGUGCACAGAAAUAUUCUUCCUCUCUGUAUUUUUAGCCUUUGGACUCGGGCUUCCCUCAAUUUUGGUGAGCUAAAUUUGUAUUCUGCUCUGCAACUGAAAAAAGUAACAAGCUCGCAGGAGAGAAUGUUGAAGGAGAUACUUGUCUGUUUCAGUUCUUUUUUGUUUUUGUCUCAGGGUUGUUUUUUUUUGUUUUUUUUUACUUGUUCAAAGAAGGGUUACAUCUUCUUCUAUUGUCCUGUUAUUUCGUUUUUGUGAAUGUAAUAUUGAGUUGCAUUAUUUUUGACUCUUACAGAGGUCAAAAAUGAAAAAGAAAUAUAGCAAAAUCUUUAACUUUAGUCAUAUUUUGCAUUUGAAUAAAAGCUAAGCGUCUCCUCUGUAGUUAGCUCUGUAGGUCUUUUUAAAAAAAACAUUUCUAUGUACAUUUUUCAGAAGUCUUUCGUGUGUAUAGUUUGUACAUUAGUUUUGUAAUUAUUAAUAUGUAGAUAUCUUUGAUUUGCACAAAGAAACCCCCCAGUGGUCUUAAUUUUGUAUCUUGGUCUUAACCCAGCUUGGGCAGUGUGAGUAAUUGAAGCCUUUUUGUAGCACAUUUUCACGUCGUUCUUCUUCUUCCACAUUCACACACUGCAAGUCGCCAAUGUAUCUGUCUGCUCUACCAAUACGUAUACUGAUACAACCUGUCAAUAAACCCGAUUUUGCUGAAAACGA